UCUCGUAGUGUUACAGAUACACCAAACACGGUGAUCGCAUGCGAAUACCGAUUUGUAAGAGUAAAUUGGUCAAUUUACUAAUCUGUAUCCGCGCAGGAAAAUAGUCCGAGCGGUCGUUUGUUAAUGUUCCAGUAUAAAUACGCGUUUGGCAGCAAUGGAUUUUCACUUGUAAUGAAGAGAGACAGAACUGUUUUGUCACAAUCGGAUAUUUUGUUUUAGUUUUGUUCCGUUGAAUUUUGUUUGACAUUUGUGAACAGAAAACUUGUGGAAUUGUUACAAGGAAAAACAGACAAAUGACGUCCUCAGUCACGUAUAUAUGUAUGUUUGUACUGGCCACCUCCGUAUGUCUGUCCAGUGUCUCUGAUGCGUAUAUAGACUGCUCCAUGGAAUGCCUCUUUGCAAAAUUUCGACAGCCUACAGUUUGUGAAUGCAAUAACAAUGUCAAGUCGCACUGGGGGAAGCGCGCACCGAGGACACAAACACACAGUGGUCUGCCUACGUUUAGAUACGGAAAACGAUCGGCUUUCUUUUGACGACUCUGAUUUAGAGGGCAUGGACAGAUUUGAUGAACUCAGUGCAAUACAGGACGAAUUCUACCCGGGCCUAGACUCUCGGAAGUGAUCGUGGAAACGACCAUGCGCUCGG